UAUACAUGCAGUCGAACGCUUCUUUCCUCCCGAGUGCUUGCACUCAAUUGGAAAGAGGAGUGGCGGACGGGUGAGUAACACGUGGGUAACCUACCCAUCAGAGGGGGAUAACACUUGGAAACAGGUGCUAAUACCGCAUAACAGUUUAUGCCGCAUGGCAUAAGAGUGAAAGGCGCUUUCGGGUGUCGCUGAUGGAUGGACCCGCGGUGCAUUAGCUAGUUGGUGAGGUAACGGCUCACCAAGGCCACGAUGCAUAGCCGACCUGAGAGGGUGAUCGGCCACACUGGGACUGAGACACGGCCCAGACUCCUACGGGAGGCAGCAGUAGGGAAUCUUCGGCAAUGGACGAAAGUCUGACCGAGCAACGCCGCGUGAGUGAAGAAGGUUUUCGGAUCGUAAAACUCUGUUGUUAGAGAAGAACAAGGACGUUAGUAACUGAACGUCCCCUGACGGUAUCUAACCAGAAAGCCACGGCUAACUACGUGCCAGCAGCCGCGGUAAUACGUAGGUGGCAAGCGUUGUCCGGAUUUAUUGGGCGUAAAGCGAGCGCAGGCGGUUUCUUAAGUCUGAUGUGAAAGCCCCCGGCUCAACCGGGGAGGGUCAUUGGAAACUGGGAGACUUGAGUGCAGAAGAGGAGAGUGGAAUUCCAUGUGUAGCGGUGAAAUGCGUAGAUAUAUGGAGGAACACCAGUGGCGAAGGCGGCUCUCUGGUCUGUAACUGACGCUGAGGCUCGAAAGCGUGGGGAGCAAACAGGAUUAGAUACCCUGGUAGUCCACGCCGUAAACGAUGAGUGCUAAGUGUUGGAGGGUUUCCGCCCUUCAGUGCUGCAGCAAACGCAUUAAGCACUCCGCCUGGGGAGUACGACCGCAAGGUUGAAACUCAAAGGAAUUGACGGGGGCCCGCACAAGCGGUGGAGCAUGUGGUUUAAUUCAAAGCAACGCGAAGAACCUUACCAGGUCUUGACAUCCUUUGACCACUCUAGAGAUAGAGCUUUCCCUUCGGGGACAAGUGACAGGUGGUGCAUGGUUGUCCUCACUCGUGUCGUGAGAUGUUGGGUUAAGUCCCGCAACGAGCGCAACCCUUAUUGUUAGUUGCCAUCAUUUAUUUGGGCACUCUACCAGACUGCCGUGACAACCGGAGAAAAGUUGGG
rnacentral:rRNA from 1 species